rnacentral:rRNA from 1 species
AGUGAACGCUGGCGGUAGGCCUAACACAUGCAAGUCGAACGGCAGCACAGUAAGAGCUUGCUCUUACGGGUGGCGAGUGGCGGACGGGUGAGGAAUACAUCGGAAUCUACUUUUUCGUGGGGGAUAACGUAGGGAAACUUACGCUAAUACCGCAUACGACCUACGGGUGAAAGCAGGGGAUCUUCGGACCUUGCGCGAUUGAAUGAGCCGAUGUCGGAUUAGCUAGUUGGCGGGGUAAAGGCCCACCAAGGCGACGAUCCGUAGCUGGUCUGAGAGGAUGAUCAGCCACACUGGAACUGAGACACGGUCCAGACUCCUACGGGAGGCAGCAGUGGGGAAUAUUGGACAAUGGGAGCAAGCCUGAUCCAGACAUACCGAGUGGGUGAAGAAGGCCUUCGGGUUGUAAAGCCCUUUUGUUGGGAAAGAAAAGCAGCAGGUUAAUACCCCGCUGUUCUGACGGUACCCAAAGAAUAAGCACCGGCUAACUUCGUG